CAACGAAGCAUCUCGUAUAUUCUAUUUUAGUGCUCUGAAAGAAUGCUAUGAUACGCCAAUUGGUAUUGUGUUGUGUGUGUGUUAUAAUAUAUUGUUUAUCUAACAGUUUCUAAAAUAGAUAGUAAAUAGGAAAGCCUGCGCGCCGCUGGCGAGCUCCCGCGGCGUGAGGAUGUGCGCGCCCGUGGAGCCCGUGAACUGUCCCGCCCGCCAUCCGAACUGAUACUUUGUCAAGAAAGUGAAGGAUAUAGAAGAGGGCGCUGUUUCCUGUCGGCUGGCAACACUGGGAGUUUAUUACGCAAUCUUGGCUUGUUUAGUAUUGCAAUGGCAAAAAAAAUUGUUAAUAAAAAAUAUGUUUUUUUUUAUUCACAUUCUUGACAGACUAUAAUAAACAUAUUCUAUAGCAUAAAGUUGAAAACACUUAGGUUCUAUAAUGGGAUUAUGGUAUUAAUACCGAGGAGCCAAAACAUUAUACAUAUAUAAUGUUCAAAAAUCAUAGAUAACCUACAAUUUU